GACGAACGCUGGCGGCGUGCUUAACACAUGCAAGUCGAACGGAAAGGCCCUGCUUUUGUGGGGUGCUCGAGUGGCGAACGGGUGAGUAACACGUGAGUAACCUGCCCUUGACUUUGGGAUAACUUCAGGAAACUGGGGCUAAUACCGGAUAGGAGCUCCUGCUUCAUGGUUGGGGUUGGAAAGUUUCGGCGGUUGGGGAUGGACUCGCGGCUUAUCAGCUUGUUGGUGGGGUAGUGGCUUACCAAGGCUUUGACGGGUAGCCGGCCUGAGAGGGUGACCGGCCACAUUGGGACUGAGAUACGGCCCAGACUCCUACGGGAGGCAGCAGUGGGGAAUAUUGCACAAUGGGCGGAAGCCUGAUGCAGCAACGCCGCGUGCGGGAUGACGGCCUUCGGGUUGUAAACCGCUUUCGCCUGUGACGAAGCGUGAGUGACGGUAAUGGGUAAAGAAGCACCGGCUAACUACGUG
rnacentral:rRNA from 1 species